rnacentral:lncRNA from 1 species
ACAAAUGGACCAACCUUUGGUUUCAUCUGUGCCUCCUUAUAAUGCCCCUAUCCCACAGCAACCUUUACCAUUAGAAACCAUGAUGGCUAAUCGGAUGAAACAACAACAAGAUUUUAUCAAGCAACAACAACAUACUAAUACAGCCCAAGCCCAGACUAACCAAUUCCAUACACAAGCAAUUGCAAAACUUGAGGUUAGUCUAAGCCAAAUAGCAAACUUUCUAGAGGAUAGAAAGAAAGGUG